UGCUGUUGCAAUUCGUAGAACAAUAAGACUGAGGUCUAAAAUUAAAGCUUUUUACACGUAUUCCAAUGUUUAGUUUAUAGGUGUACGCAAUUUUGGCGAGAUUACUCAGUUCUAUUGUUCUGCUUCUGUUUACAUAAUGUUCGGAUAUAUAGGAUUCAGUUUAUUAUCACGAGUCUAAUUUUAAUUGCGUGCGCUUCAACGCGACCACAGGGAAGUGAUACGGUACAGAGAGGAAACACACGGCAAAUUGUGUCACGCCGAUAUAUUCAGUCUAACUACGUAUAUAUAAAAUUAUAUUAAUU